CUACAACACCACCCAAAACCUGAAACUGUAAACUGCCUCCACGCUCUCCUACUGUGGUUUGUGUGUGAGCCCGAUGGUCCAGAGGACGAGUUUGAGAGGAAGAUGAAAGCUUUAAAGGAUGAAGGUGUGAGUAACUGGCAGCCACGUGUGGCUCAUGCUUUCAGCCAAUGGCAGUGCUGCAUGAGGCAGAGCCUCCACCUGAACCAGCUGCUGUGUUCCCCUCUACCAGAACCUCAGUGUGUCCGACUUUACUGUGGACCUGUCA